rnacentral:rRNA from 1 species
UUAGAGUUUGAUCCUGGCUCAGGAUGAACGCUAGCGGCAGGCUUAACACAUGCAAGUCGAGGGGCAGCAUGAGACGGAGAUUCGUCGAAGUCUUGAUGGCGACCGGCGCAAGGGUGCGUAACGCGUGAGCAACUAGCCCGUUUCUGGGGGAUAACCGGUGGAAACGCCGACUAAUACCCCAUGGCAUUGACUUUGGGCAUCCUUAGUCAAUUAAAGAACUUCGGAAACGGAUAGGCUCGCGUGACAUUAGCUUGAUGGCGGGGUAACGGCCCACCAUGGCGACGAUGUCUAGGGGUUCUGAGAGGAAGGUCCCCCACACUGGAACUGAGACACGGUCCAGACUCCUACGGGAGGCAGCAGUGAGGAAUAUUGGUCAAUGGACGCAAGUCUGAACCAGCCAUGCCGCGUGCAGGAAGACGGCUCUAUGGGUUGUAAACUGCUUUUAUGCGGGAAUAAGAUCAGAUACGUGUAUCUGCGUGCAUGUACCGCAUGAAUAAGGACCGGCUAAUUCCGUGCCAGCAGCCGCGGUAAUACGGAGGAUCCGAGCGUUAUCCGGAUUUAUUGGGUUUAAAGGGUGCGUAGGCGGCCUGGUAAGUUAGAGGUGAAAUCUCAUCGCUCAACGAUGAACGUGCCUCUGAUACUGUCGGGCUAGCGAGAGAGUGCUGUGGGCGGAAUGUGUAGUGUAGCGGUGAAAUGCUUAGAGAUUACACAGAACACCGAUUGCGAAAGCAGCUCACAAACUCUUAUCGGACGCUGAGGCACGAAAGCGUGGGGAGCAAACAGGAUUAGAUACCCUGGUAGUCCACGCCGUAAACGAUGAUUACUCGUUGUUGGCGAUAGACCGUUCAGCGACCAAGCGAAAGCGAUAAGUAAUCCACCUGGGGAGUACGUUGGCAACAAUGAAACUCAAAGGAAUUGACGGGGGCCCGCACAAGCGGAGGAACAUGUGGUUUAAUUCGAUGAUACGCGAGGAACCUUACCCGGGCUUGAAAGUUAGUGACGGACUUGGAAACGAGUCUUCCCUUCGGGGCACGAAACUAGGUGCUGCAUGGUUGUCGUCAGCUCGUGCCGUGAGGUGUCGGCUUAAGUGCCAUAACGAGCGCAACCCUUGCCGCCAGUUACUAACAGGUAACGCUGAGGACUCUGGCGGGACUGCCAUCGCAAGAUGUGAGGAAGGUGGGGAUGACGUCAAAUCAGCACGGCCCUUACGUCCGGGGCUACACACGUGUUACAAUGGGAGGUACAGAAGGCAGCUACCCGGCGACGGGAUGCCAAUCCCCAAAACCUCUCUCAGUUCGGACUGGAGUCUGCAACCCGACUCCACGAAGCUGGAUUCGCUAGUAAUCGCGCAUCAGCCAUGGCGCGGUGAAUACGUUCCCGGGCCUUGCACACACCGCCCGUCAAG